CCGCACCCCUCCAGUCCUCCUUCUGGCCCAUCUCGCUGCCGAGCGCCUCGGCCCCUCGUUCGUCUUCCUCCUCGCGCACUGGACUCCAGUAGUCCAGUGGCGCAAGCGCCGCCACCGCCGGUUGAUCUCCCCUUCGAUUCUCUCGCUCCCGACCGUUUCUCCUCCCAUCACCCCACGAACCGAUUCCGCCCUUUAGCUCCCCGUUUCAUCUCCUUAAUCUCCCCCAAUUCGUAACAGAAGGCAAAAAUACCUUGCCCUGCUGGGUCCUCCGCCCGUGAGAACCCUCGCUAGCUAGCUUUGCUUCGAUCACUUCGACUGUUGGGCCACCGCGAAUGGCGUCCGUUGGCUCCUCACUCGCCGGUGGCCGAUGAUCGUGUCGAUCGAAAUCGCGUCCCUGUUUUAGAACGGCGGCGAUGAGGGAGGGACACGCGCUGGCGCCGGCCCGGCGCCGGACUCACGGAUCGUCGCUUCUCGGAGCCACUCCUCCUGCCCACUCCGCUCCUCGGGGUUGCCGCCGGUGUCGAUGGCGUCUGCGGCUGGUGCGGGUUGGGGACCGAGCGGCGGGGGUCCGUGGCGAGUUCCGGUCGAGGGUUUGGUCGGCCACUGCGGAAUCUGAGCCGCCGUUGAUGGAUUUCUCGCAGUUCCGUUGCAUUUUGCUUUGGAUUCGACCGUCCACCCAGUGCCGCUGCCCAUUUCUAUGAAGGCUUGGCGGAUGUUUUGACUAUUUUUAUGGAUGGCAUCAUGGCAAUGAUGAAUAUGGCCCGUUUAGAGAUACGCGGAGAAACUAAGGUAAGAUUCCAAAGUUUGAUUUGGUUUUGGGUUUAGGAUUUUUGGUGUGUUUAUCUCUUAUACUUGCAAAAUGGACGCAUUCAAAUAAGACGGUUUGCAUAUUGUAUGCAACCAUUUGAAUUCAGUGUCACAUAGGGGUUGUCAGCGGGUCAGAUACGGAAUGGAUAUCAUGGGAAAACAACAUUAGUUCUCUCAUGUUUUGUUUGGGUAACUUUUUUUCUCGUAUAUUUGAAGCUAUUGCCGGUUCUAUUUCUGGGGUUAACAAGACACUGUUGUCUUGUUGGUAUGUUAACUUCGCCACAUGCUUCUCCAGAGGCGAAGUUAUGAUCUGCCAUAUCUGCAUAAAUUUCAACCGUUUCUUUGGUUGCCAAUAGUGCGGCCAUCAGUGCAGUGUUUUGAAUAACUUCAGAACACAUUAUAUCUGUUUCCUUUCCUUGAUGUGUUCUGUUAUGUUCUCGAAUGGCUAUGAUGAUUAUUUGCCCCUUGGUGUUGGAGAUCUUGUAACACAUGAGCUGGAGAUCUUUUCACAUCUCCUAAGUUGGUUCCUUCCAUGCAGAGUUGCCCGGUUAGACAGUUGGUCGUUAAACUAGGAGGCCUUGCCCUGCAGCAAGUUACCAGUUGCGGCUAUUUGUUGCUGGUGCUGUUUGUAUGGGGAGAGAGAAAGAGAUACUCCCUCAUACAACCAAAAUGGACGACACUAGCUUUUUAUGGAUCGGAGGGAGUGUUAUUUGUAUUGCACCUUGUUAUUACCUAUAGCAUUUUCCAACUUUUGUGAUUAAUAGUGGGGUCAAUCUGAGCUAUUCAAGUAGUACUUUUGGUUGUAUGAUCGAUGAAAGGCGAAUCUGAGCCCUCCAAAUGCAAUUAUACUAACCCUCAUGCAUUUUGUAAACCCUGAAGACAACCUGUUGCUCAACUUUCUGCUGCAUCCAGAUCUCCACCGUGCAUUCGUGCAUCUUCCACUGUUGCGUGUGUCCUGUGGGGCUCUCCGAAUCAAUGGGUGGUAGUGUCUAGUGUGGCUUCGGAAGCGGCGCUUUAGUCAUUUGAGGUCAGAGUGAGGUCAAUUGAUGAUCCGUGCUUGUUUUUGUUAUAGAAUCUGGAUUUGGUAUGUCCCCAAUUAGCACCACUGUGAGCUCUACCGGCUGUCCAGCUACUGAAGCUGUGUUGAACUUCAGAUGUUCUGUAUCCACACCCUUACCUGUUGCAUGAGCAAAGUGACUUUUUAGAGGAAUUGCCCCCACUUGAUUUCUUUUGCUGUCUGUCUGUGAUUAGUGAUGACGAUCAAACGUGGACGAAAUAAACUUGUCUUCAAUGAAGAUGGGGUUUGGCAAGAUAUGAUUAGAAGUAAAUAUAUUAAGAAGCAGCUUUUAUUUACUUCUGAGCAGAAAAGAGGCCAAUCACACUUUUGGCAAGGCUUAUGCAAGUAAAGAAUAUUUUCAUUAAUUGUUGUAGAAAACAAGUGGGUAAUGGAGAUAGAACUUGUUUUUGGGAAGAACAUUGGAUUGGGGAUGCUCCUCUGUGUUCAAAGUUCCCUAGGCUUUAUAACUCAACUAAUAAGCAAUUCAUCUCAGUUUCUGCAGUCUUUAAAUCUCAAUGGCAAUGCAUUAGCUUCAGGAGAUCCUUUUGUGAGGAAAAGUUAGAAAUGUGGACACAACUGAGAAUGUUGUGUCUAGGUGUCUGUCUAAAUGAGGAACAUGAUAAAUGUAUUUGGAAACUAACUAAUAGUGGGCAGUUUUCUAUUAAAUCUCUUUAUAAUAUGCUUAAAGAUAAACAGGUCAGAAUACCAUAUAUACAGUUGUAGCGAAUAAAGAUUCCUUUGAAAGUUAAAAAAAUUAUGUGGGUAAUAUGCAAGGAUAGCAUAUUGACAAGGGAUAAUUUAGCAAAACGGGGCUGGGUAGGCUCUGCAAAUUGUGAAUUUUGUGGUGCCCGGGAGACUAUUGAUCAUCUUUUAUUUGAAUGCUCAGUAGCUAGGGUGUGCUGGAAGAUUCUGGUAUUGGUAGUACCCCUAGUUCAGUUAAGGAUCUAUUGGAUGUCUGGAUGUUACAGUUUAGGGGGCGCCAGCGAGGGCUUGUGACUGUUGGUGUCGCUGCCCUCUGCUGGAGCAUCUGGAGAUGUCGGAAUGAUUCUUAUUUUAAGAGAUUAGUACUUAAAGAACCUACUAAUAUUCUGUUUUCUGUUUGUCACUGGGUUAAUUUCUGGGUUGGGCUACAAAAGGAAGCGGACCGUGAUAAGCUCAGGAAUGGCGCAUCCAGGUUAUCCAAGGUCGUGUCUAAUGUGUCUAAUGCUCAUAGCGCUUGGAGGGAGGCGACGAUGAGAGAUACAAACUGAUGCACAACUUCAAAAGAAAGAAGUCAUCGAAGUGCCUGUAUCUGCAUGUCGUCGACCCAGUGCCUUUUAUAUUUUCUAUUAGAACCUUUAUGGUUUGCUGGAGUAUUGGUUCAUAAUGCCCAGCUUAUUGUAAUUUUUCUUUCUGUUGGACCUCUAUGUCACACAUACUAUUGCGGUUUCAUUAAUGAAAUCCGGAGCUGAGCUCCUUAAUUCUAAAAAAAAACUACUCCCUUCUUUUGGGACCUUUUCAUUCACACCAGAAUAUCGACGGCUCUAGCUUGGAUAGUCACUCUGAUUAGUGAUAACAAGCACAGCUUGACUUCAAUGGUGGGGUUGAUCUGGUUAAAAAAGAUGCUGGAAGCUAGGUCGUAUGACCAAUCAAAGGCAUAUCUGAGCCCUCUGAAUGCAAAUAUACUUUGCCUCUCUACACAAUAUGCUUUACAGUUUACACUAUUUCUGUUAGUAGUAAUUUUUUGGUCUUCUGAUACGCAAGCUGAAGUUAUUCUUUUGUCUUCUGAUCUUUCUUUUCCGUCAUCCCUUUUUCUUGAUUGGCUGUGAUGGAUCAUCUUACUCGGUUUCGAGUCAGUUUGCCGCUACACUAGGAGGGCUUGUGCCACAGCGAGUAACCAGUUUUGCAGCUGAUUGUUGGUGCUUAUUCUGUUAUUUCUGUUGUUACAUAUUACAUAUUUGAACGAACAAUUUCACUUAAAUACUCCAUGUUGGUUUAGUCGUUUGCUGUUAACUAGAGAGAUGGCCUGGCGCUAAAACUGUAAGUUGCAAUUGAUGUGUUAUUGUUAUUCUAUUGCUAUUUGACUUUUGAAAAUUUUAUACUUCCAUUUUCUGACUCAAGGAUUAUAUGGUGUCAGUUCAGAUAUUGUUUCCUUUCUGUCAUGUUCAUGAAUGGCUGUGAUGAUAAUAGGAUGAUAGCUGCCCCGUGAGAGCUUCUAACACCUGAAUUGGUUCUUUGUGUUUUACUCAGUUUGGUGCUAAACUACUAAACUAGGAGGAGCCUGCGCUGCGGAGGCUGCGGCGCGCCGCGUCAUGGCCGGCGAUAGACAUGGAGACUGUCGUGCACAUGACGGACGACGGCGCCGGCGCCGGCCGCCUGCUAGAUCAUCAACAGGCUCUACUUCAAAAAACAAGGAGGCCGGGAGGAUGAUGAUAGUACUAGACGACUGUACACGGUGGAGUUCGACGUGUUCCGGCUGGAUGCUGAAGCCAGGAAGAUCGUGCCGGUGAGAAACCUUGGCAAGCGUGCCCUAUUCGUCGUGCUGGUCGUGCCGGCAUCGGCGUCGGCUCCGGGUACCAUCGUGCACAACAGUAUGUACUUCCAGCACAAUGGGCACCCUACGUUCUUUGUGCGGCGUCUGUCGCGUAGGAACAAUACACUACCACAAACCGAUAUAUCCAUGUCGGGCGACUUCUAUUCCUGUCAGGCCCACAGCCGGCCGACAGGAAUAUGGCCCGACAGGAAUAUAAGUAUUCCCUGUCAGGAGUUACAUGGCACACAGGAGAACAAAACAUUUUUCUGUCGGUCGGCUCGAAA